rnacentral:rRNA from 1 species
AGACUUUGAUCAUGGCUCAGGACGAACGCUGGCGGCGUGCUUAACACAUGCAAGUCGAACGGUCUACCUCGACAGAAGCCUUCGGGCAGAAGACGAGGACUAGAUAGUGGCGGACGGGUGAGUAACACGUGGAUAACCUGUCCUUGAAUUGAGGAUAACUGGGCGAAAGUCGGGCUAAUCCUGAAUAAGCUGAGAGGGUGGCAUCACCCAAUCAGAAAAGAUGCGAUACGCAUUGUUCAAGGAGGGAUCCGCGGUGGAUUAGCUAGCUGGUAAGGUAACGGCUUACCAGGGCAACAAUCCAUAGCUGGUCUGAGAGGACGAUCAGCCACACUGGAACUGAGACACGGUCCAGACUCCUACGGGAGGCAGCAGUGGGGAAUCUUCCACAAUGGGCGAAAGCCUGAUGGAGCAACGCCGCGUGAGUGAAGAAGGUCUUAGGAUUGUAAAGCUCUGUCCUCAGGGAAGAACCGUGGAUAAAGGAAAUGGUAUCCACCUGACGGUACCUGGGGAGGAAGCACUGGCUAACUACGUGCCAGCAGCCGCGGUAAUACGUAGAGUGCAAGCGUUGUCCGGAAUUAUUGGGCGUAAGGGUACGCAGGCGGAUAGUAAAGUCAAAUGUGAAAGGUGUCGGCUUACCCGACAGAUAGCGUUUGAAACUACU